UAUCUGCUUACAAGCUCAUAGGUCCUCUACCUUGGCUGUUCGUCAGCCCCCCAGGCCAGACCUCAUAGUCUCUGAAAAAUUUAAAAGCUUUCCAGGUGACACACAGCCCCCAAGUUUGAAGACUGUUACAUUUGAUGGAAUUUUCAGACAAAAUGUGUGGCAUAAAUUGCAAAACAAGGGUAGGGUUGUUUUUUCUGUUUUGUUUUCCCAUAUUUCAGUUUCAUUAUAAAUAUGUCUCAUUCAGUACAUAAAAUUUUGGGAGAAAAAAACCAUAUACAACCCCAAAAUAAGGAGAAAACCACUGGUACCAUUUAAUCGUAUUUUCUACUAAUGUUUCCUAUCCAUAUAUUUUAUAUAACUAAGGCCCCAGUGUAAAUACGCAAAGACUAUUUGGUUUUAUUUUGUACUACUUGACACUGUAAGGAAGCAUUUUCCGGGCAAGGCAGGCAGUAUGGUUAUCAGAAAAUUAGAAGUAAAAAUCCUCCCAUCACUUUAAGGUCCAUGCCUCCCACCCACCUUAGCCUCACUAGGUCAAAACAAGAACUCGCCACAGUUAAAACACAGAAACAGGUAGUCAAGACUUGACUGGUUUUACCUCAGAGCCUACCGGAUAAGGGCUCUUUUAAUAACAAAGCUUCCAUUUGGGGAUACUGAAUUGCCUUCCCCGUCAGAGUCUAUGGGCCACUUGCUUUGAUGUGCAGUUCCCUUUAAACCUUGCUUGUUAGGCACCUGGAAAUUCCUGAGACGAUCUUUAAGUCAACAAUACAGAUUUCUGAGCCUUGACCAGACCUGAUGUCCCCUCCCUGCCUCCCCGAAGCCUCUUCCGAAGGCAGUCUGCCUGGGGUGAUAAUGGGAUCCCAGCCCCAGAGGGAGCGCCCAUCCCGACUUACCACCACCCAAGUGCCAGAAGGGAGCUGCCAGCUGGAGGUGGCUUUUCCUGCCCUUGAGUGAAGGUGUUCGUUGACCCCCUCAGACUUCUGACAGCUCCCUCAAAAACUGCUUGCCAAGGCCAGGAGUCCUUGUCAAUGGGCACCUGUCCUCUCUGGAAAUCUGUAAAUUCUCUUUGAAUAGUUUAUAUUUCAAUUAGGUUACUGUGCAUAAUUACGGAGGGUGACUCACGGAGAAAUGAAACAGCUUAGAGAAAUGAUCACAUCUAUACUAUAUUUAUAUGCACACACGUAGACUGUCCAUAAAGUACAAGUGUAGAGAUUAUGUGUACGUGAAAACAUAUUAUAAAGGAGAGCGAGCCAGACUUCAUUCUAGAUGACAAUCACCCCACCUGUCCCUUAUGAUCCAUGGGCAGGUGUGGAAACGAUAGGGCCUCCCUCUGGAGCCCCACCAGACAGUGCAGAUCGUUUUCAACUUACAGUGGGGUUACCUCCUGAUACACCUAUCAUAAGUUGAAAAUACCAUAAGUUGAAAAUGCAUUUAAUACACCUAACCCUCAGAACGUCAUAGCUUUGCCUAGCCUACAUUCAACAUGCUCAGAACACUUACAUUAGCUUACUGUUGGGCAAAAUCAUCUAACACAAAGCCUACUUUAUAAUAAAGUGUUGAAUAUCUCAUGUCAUUUAUUGAAUACUGUACUGAAAGUGGAAAACAGGAUGGUUGUCUGGGUCCAGAAUGACUGUCAGUGUAUUGACUGUUUACCCUCACGAUCGCAGGGCUGACCCGAAGCUGAGACUCGCUGCCACUGCCCAGUGUCACCGGAGAGCAUGCCGCCAGCCCAGGAAAAGAUUAAACUUCAAAAUCCAAGUACGGUUUCUGCUCACUGCCUAUCGCUUUCACGCCAUCCUAAAGUCGAAAAAUUUGCAAAGCAAGGAAGAGUGGCGUUGGCCCAGUAGUCCAGAAGCUCUUAUCCAAGAAAUGAGUGAAGGGAGGUUCUAAGACCCUCCUUGUUUUACCUCUGAUCCCAGAGGCUUGAACCCCCAAAGGUCAAGAUGGUGGCCUCCCUUAGAGCCGUGAAGGAUGGGCCCAGAGCAAACUAAGCUGGGCCUGGAUGCAGAGAAAUACUUUUUACAUGAGAAUCUAAUCUGCUGGAUAUUUAUUGAAGAGAUUUCUAGAAGCAAAGAACAAGCUCUUAUGAGGAAACUCUCACCAUGGAAGCCUGUUCGGGUGGUAACAGACAUCAGCCGCCCCCCGGGAGGGGUCAGUCUUUACCUGGAUAACCCGGAGCAUGGCAGGGGAGGGCAAUGAAAGGAGGAAGAAGGAAAAUUUGUUUCCAUUAAAAGCCAGAAGAACCUAGAGGGGCAGAGGAAAAUUUCUUACUCCCCAGCAAUUGCAGUUUGGGGUCUGCAGCCAUGGUGAGCCAGGGGCAAGGGAAGGAGAUUGCUUUUAUGGGGCAGGGAGGAGAGAAGUUGGGGAGCUACAGUAAACAAAGAGUCUAUGGCUUUUCAUUGGCUGAGUGCUAACCAGGAAAGGAGUCUUUCUUCUUCCUGGUGGGCUCUGCUGUCAUCACAGGCCCUGAGAUCUCCCCUUUCUGGUCUCCCAACUCCAUUUAAAAUAAAUUGAGGGGGACUUCCCUGGCGGUUCAGUGGUUAAGACUCCAAGCUUCCACUGCAGGGGGCACGGGUUAGCUCCCUGGUCCGGGAACUAUGAUCCCACAUGGCACACAGUGCCGCCAAAAAAAAAGGAAAUAAAAGAAAUUGAGGUUUCUGUUUAUUAAUUUUUACAACAUCGACACACACAGACACACUCAGACACACAUAUAGACACUCUCAGACACACAUAUAGACACACACAGAGACACACACACACAGCCCAUACUGCACCAUACUGUAAGACUGGGCUAAAUCCCUUCCCCGGGCUCUCCUAGCACCCAACCUCUGUCACUGAACUGACCAGCUUUUACUGACAAAUCUGUCCUCCUAUCUCGAUGAUAAACCCUUCCGGGUCAAAGACCAUGUCCUUCGCAACUUUAGCACCCUGCUUUCCCCACGCUCUAUCUGGUUCAGAGUGGGCCGUCAAUAAAGCUUUGCUAACUGAACCCAACCAUAAUUCAAGGCAGGCUGGAGGGACUGGGAAACGGAAUGGCUUCCAGGGUGACCGAAUGUAAAAUUGAUUCCCCUCUCCGAAUCCCUGGGCAGACUGCAACCUUUCACAGCAAUGGACAGUAUCACAUACCCUCACCCUUCAAGUCUUAUCCUUGCCCCUUAAAGCACACAUAAAAAUUGGACUCCUUGGGCUUCCCUGGUGGCGCAGUGGUUGAGAGUCCGCCUACCGUUGCAGGGGACACGGGUUCGUGCCCCAGUCCGGGAAGAUCCCGCGUGCCGCGGAGCGGCUGGGCCUGUGGGCCGUGGCCGCUGAGCCUGCGCGUCCGGAGCCUGUGCUCCGCGACGGGAGAGGCCGCAGCAGUGAGAGGCCCACGUGCCGGAAAAAAAAAAAAAAAAAAAAAAAUUGGACUCCUAAAACUCAGCCAUUCGCUGUUGAAUUCAAGGCCUUUCCCCAAUUUGAGAUAUUCCACAGAAGAAAUUGAGCCAUUUCUAGGUAGCCGAAAGGAAACAGAAAAGAGACUGACUUAAAGCUUCAUUCAGCUCUCACGUCGUUUCCUAUUCAUCUCCUACAUUAAAACCUUUUGAACGCGGAAGCUACAUCUGAUUACUCUUCCUGUUUCCCACAGCUCCUAGCAGGAUGCUUUGGAUAUGAAUGGCAAAGCACUGGAGGAGAAGACAGGAUAGGAUGGACGUGGGCCCUUUGGAUUUGCCAGAGGAAAAAAAUAACGUGUAACUUGGAAAUGUAAUAAAACCUUCAAAAGUACGUACCACAACCUAUGUCCAUUGCAGGAACUCGGCUGUGUUUCUAUCCAUUCCACGCAGUUUAUGCACCUGAGUCGUCUGCUCACCUGUGUCACAUCACGGCCACGAGCACAGGCUUUGGGACCACACAGCUCUGGGCGGAAUCCCAGUUCUGUCACCCACCAGCUCUCCACCCUGGGGCUCAGGGUCCUCACCUGUAAAGAGACGAUGACACACCUCACAGGGAGGGUCCAGCACUCAGCUCGGUGCCAGGCACAUAGGAUGUGCUCUAUAAACAGUCGCUAUUUGAUUGUUGUGGUUGUUAUUGUUAUGUGGGUCCUCAGUAUAUUUGAAAUGAGAGCAGGGAUUCUAAAUUAGAGCAGGACACUAUUCAAAUAUUGGUAGAGGUUUGGCAGUUUGGAGAGGUAUAAUGGGAGAGAUCACACCUGAAUAUAUGUAGAGACAAACAACAAAUUAGUUAAGAAACUUGUUAAAACCUAAGAUCGGCACUAAGCAGGGUGCUUCCUUGGCAAAACAGGGCAGGUGGGGAGGAGGGGGGUCCAGCUCGGCCCGCCACGUGGAAAAGGACAGGGAAGGCAUGUCCGGCCACUGACAGAGUCUCGGGUCUCAAACCUCAUUUAGGUCCCUGGUGGCAGCAAGUUCCCACCUGGAGAGGGGGAAGCAGCCCAGGAAAUCCAGGGAUCAGGCAGUCCUGAGUCUGGAUCUUAGAUGCCCUGUCCAGAAUUACAACUGGAGCCACACAGAUGCCCUGUCCAGUGGUGAUGAAGCCCUGGGCUUCUCUGAGGCUCUGGACACCCCAUGGGAUUGGCCGCCAAGCACAGCUGGGACCACGAUGUGAGCCCAGGGGUCAGCUGGGGGUCCAGGGUCCCUAAACCCACAGGUAUGGGGGGUGGUGCUUAAACUCUGUAAUCCUUUCCUGCCUGAGCGCCAAAGGAACCUGCACUGAGGGGUGAGCAUCAG